rnacentral:rRNA from 1 species
AAGCGGUGGAGUAUGUGGUUUAAUUCGAUGCAACGCGAAGAACUACCUGGCUUGACAUCCCGGAGACCCUUAGGAAACUAGGGGGUGCUUCCAUCUGGAAGAAUCUGGAGACAGGUGCUGCAUGGCUGUCGUCAGCUCGUGUCGUGAGAUGUUGGGUUAAGUCCCGCAACGAGCGCAACCCUUGCCUUUAGUUGCCAGCAGUUCGGCUGGGCACUCUAAAGGGACUGCCGGUGUUAAACCGGAGGAAGGUGGGGAUGACGUCAAGUCCUCAUGGCCUUUAUGACCAGGGCUACACACGUACUACAAUGGCCGAUACAAAGGGCAGCGACACUGCGAGGUGAAGCCAAUCCCGUAAAAUCGGUCUCAGUCCGGAUUGGAGUCUGCAACUCGACUCCAUGAAGUUGGAAUCGCUAGUAAUCGUGGAUCAGCAUGCCACGGUGAAUACGUUCCCGGGCCUU